rnacentral:tRNA from 1 species
GGGCCGUUAGCUCAACUAGGCAGAGCACCUGACUCUUAAUCAGUAGGUUCUCGGUUCGAUUCCGAGACGGCCCACCA